AACAACAAUGAAAAGCCGAGUCCAACUCAUUCCUGCCUUGAGUCUCUCUCAGACACUCCAUUUAGGCUGCUAUGACAAAAUACAGUAGUAUCUCCUGUAUCCCACAGAAGACACAUUCCAAGACCCCUAUGGGAAGCUUAUUGAUUUUUCUAUACUUAUAUACCUAUGAUAAAGCUUAAUUUAUAAAUUCGGUUUCAUAAGAAAUUAGCAACGACAAUUAACAAAAUAGAAAAAUUUUAACAAUAUACUAUAAGUUACUUAAAACUGAUGAACUGAUUAUUUCUGGAAUUUUCAUCUGAUAUUGUUCGUUUUGCAGUUGACCAAGGGUUACUAAAAAUUUAAAAAGUGAAACUGGGUACCAGGGGAUAAAUGUUCCAUACAGUGGGUAGCUUAUAAACAAUAGAAAUUUGUUUUUCACAGUUCUGGAGGCUGGGAAGUUUAUGAUCAAGGUGCCAGCAAAUUGGUGUCUGCUGAGGGCCUUUUUUUCUGAUUCUUCCUGUAUCCUCACUAACCUGAAGGAAUAGUCUAUCUUGGACCUCUCUUAGAAGAGUACUAAUCCCAUUCACAAGACUUCAUGACCUAGUCACCUCCCUACCCUUGUAAUGGAUGUGGAAAGGUCUUUAAAUGUAUUUUAGCCCUUACUCAACAUUAUAGAACUCAGACUGGAAAGAAACCAUAUGAGUAUACUGAGUGUGGGAAAGGCUUCAGUCAUAGCAUGCACCUUACUGAACAUCAGGGAAUUCAUUCUGGAGAGAAAUACUACCAGCAUUGGAAAGUUUUUUUGGCCACAGCACAUCACUAAUUUGAUAUCAGAGAACUCAUAUAGGAGAGAAACCUUAUGAAUGUAGUAAAUGUGGGAAAGUCUUCAGCCAUGCCCCAGCCUUUACUCAACAUCAGAGAAUCCACACCAAAGAGAAACCCUAUGAAUGUAAUGAAUGUAGAAAGGCCAGGGUGCACACCUCACUAAACACCAGAGAACUCAUCUGGGAGAGAAAGUAUGUUUGUAAAGAAUUUGGAAAAACCUUCAGCCAAAGUACACACCUUACUGAACUUCUGAAAACUCAUUCUGGUGAGAAACCCUAACAAUAUACAGAAUGCCAUAAACUAUUUUCCUAUAGAACAUCACUAAUUUGAUAUCAGAGGACUCACAGAAGAGAAUUCCUAUUGAUAUAAUGAAUAUGGGAAAUCCUUCAACUUAAGCUCUGCCCUUACUUAACAUAAACAUAAACAUACACAUGCACAUACAC
rnacentral:lncRNA from 1 species